UACGGGGGGAGCAAGCGUUGUUCGGAAUCACUGGGCGUAAAGGGCGUGUAGGCGGUCAGGUAAGUGGGAUGUGAAAUGCCCCGGCUCACCCGGGGACCGGCAUCCCAAACUGCUUGGCUUGAGUAUGGGAGAGGAUGAGGGAAUUCCUGGUGUAGCGGUGAAAUGCGUAGAUAUCAGGAGGAACACCGGUGGCGAAGGCGCUCAUCUGGCCCAAUACUGACGCUGAGGCGCGAAAGCUAGGGGAGCAAACGGG
rnacentral:rRNA from 1 species